rnacentral:rRNA from 1 species
AGUGAACGCUGGCGGUAGGCCUAACACAUGCAAGUCGAACGGCAGCACAGAGGAGCUUGCUCCUUGGGUGGCGAGUGGCGGACGGGUGAGGAAUACAUCGGAAUCUACUCUGUCGUGGGGGAUAACGUAGGGAAACUUACGCUAAUACCGCAUACGACCUACGGGUGAAAGCAGGGGAUCUUCGGACCUUGCGCGAUUGAAUGAGCCGGUGUCGGAUUAGCUAGUUGGCGGGGUAAAGGCCCACAAAGGCGACGAUCCGUAGCUGGUCUGAGAGGAUGAUCAGCCACACUGGAACUGAGACACGGUCCAGACUCCUACGGGAGGCAGCAGUGGGGAAUAUUGGACAAUGGGCGCAAGCCUGAUCCAGCCAUACCGCGUGGGUGAAGAAGGCCUUCGGGUUGUAAAGCCCUUUUGUUGGGAGAGAAAUCCAUCUGGUUAAUACCCGGAUGGGAUGACGGUACCCAAAGAAUAAGCACCGGCUAACUUCGUGCCAGCCGCCGCCGUAA